rnacentral:lncRNA from 1 species
AAGCUACGUGAGUAAACCCCUCAGCUAAUCUAACCAAUGCUGAUCUCUGUCACAGGGACAGUUUCUUAACAGUUAAGUUUUAGCACCCAGUAGUCUCUCUGUAGGCACUUCUGUCCUUUAGAUUCAAAACUCUCUGACUUGAGGUUGUUUGUUUGUUUGUUUGUUUGUUUUCUGGUAUGUUUUAGUGGGUGCGGGGCUAAAACAAAAAAAUCUACAUCACUGUAAAACUCUGGGUGAAAGGGAAAAUGUAGCUGAGCCUCUCCAGCAUUUGCCAGUGUGUUUUAUGUAAGAUGGGUUCCUGGUGACCAUGGCAUGUAGCACUGUCUCCAUAGAGUAGGCUCUGAUGUGAUGGGAGGCACUAGUGAGAGGGACCCAGGCUGCUCUGCUAGGGCUCUGCUCUGAGGGAAAAGAGACGCUGGCUGCUGUCGUUUUAGAAAGCUCCCUAGUGAAGCCACUUGUUUCCCAGGCCAGAUGAACAAGACACCUAGGACAGCUCUUCCACAGUUGGGCCCAUCUGGCCAGCCUUGGAAGCUGUAACCCAGCCCUGUCCCCUCCCAUGAUUGCCUUGCCUGCUUGCUUCCUCAGCCCUGGGCCAGGUUUGAGGCUCAUGUUAAUAAACCACCUAGAGACCAACUGGCCAGCGGCCCUUCCUUCCCACCGGUUCAUCUCCCUGUAGGAGUGCCUUAUAGUCUAGUCUAGUCUCUGACCCACUUGAAGCCUGCAGGACCCUUCAACCAACUAUGGAUCCCUUCGCGCUUCCCUGCUGGCUCUUGUUCAGUACACAGCCCACCUGGAGCCUGUGUAUUCCGAGAUGCACGUCCACCUUUGCUUAACCUGGUGCCUUAACUUCACAAGUAAAGGGAUUCACAUUGCAAACGCAUUAUCUGAGUGAAACAUCAGUUUCUUCGGUGCCAUUGGCACUUUUACCAGGAAAUACAAUAGGCAUAAUCAUACAAUGUUUUGACUUUAUUUUAUGAUGUUUCUCAGCCACUCUUUGUUUGCUUGCUUUCAUUAACCAAACUCAGGGGAAUGUCAUGUCACCACAGUCAAUGGGGAAAGAAAGAAAACUAGCUAUGCAGAAGUGAAUGACAAAGUCUGUGAACUUAGUCUUUACUAGGUUCAGAAGUGACAUCAACAGGAGGAUUUUUUUCCUUUAUUGUAUAAAGAUUCUCUUUACUUGCCACCUGUGUUCCACGUAGAAGGUGGGAAGCCUCGGGGAUGUGUGUGGAUGACAGUGUCCCUAUUUUCGCCGGGGCAGUCCACCAAGCCACCGGAUCAGGCCCUCAUUGCAGUGAGCUCUGCCUCUGGUUACCUGUCCGGCUCUUACUGUAAACAGUCCUUACCUGUCUCCAAGGAAUGAUAAAGGGAGGAGGACGCCAAGACUGCAGGUGAAGAGCAAGAGUGUGUGACGUGGAUGGUCCUGUAUAGCUCGUUCUCGGGCUCCUAGCUCAGAUCCGAGUCAUUCCCCUUCCUUCUGCUCAUGCGGUACAGAAGCAAUCAGGAUGUGCCUUUGAGCUGUUCCUUCUCUCUGUUAGUUAUUCGCAAUAGCUAAUGUGCUAGUUUACGUGGUCCCUGUUGUCUGGAUCUGAUUGCCUUUUUUGGUUAAUUUAUCCAUAUUUUUGUUUACAUUAUUUUUAAAGCUAGUAACUGUAAUAGUAUAAAAUUGAAGUUGUGCUGUUGACAGGACAUCUCUCUCUCUCUUUUUUUUUUACAUUUAUCUGUCACAAUAAUUUAAGUGCACCUGUUCCUAAUGUAUAAAGUUCUCUCCCUCUCAAUAAAUGACAAUGGAAG